rnacentral:rRNA from 1 species
CCUAUGGGGGGCAGCAGGCGCGAAAACUUUACAAUGCGGGAAACCGUGAUAAGGGAACUCCGAGUGCCCGUAAACGCGGGCUGUCCAUCUGCUUAAAAAACAGGUGAAGAAAGGGCCGGGCAAGACCGGUGCCAGCCGCCGCGGUAAUACCGGCGGCUCGAGUGGUGGCCACUAUUACUGGGCUUAAAGCGUCCGUAGCUUGGUUGUUAAGUCUCUUGGGAAAUCUGUCGGCUUAACCGACAGGCGUUUAAGGGAUACUGGCAAUCUAGGGACCGGGAGAGGUGAGAGGUACUCCAGGGGUAGGAGUGAAAUCCUGUAAUCCUUGGGGGACCACCUGUGGCGUAGGCGUCUCACCAGAACGGCUCCGACAGUGAGGGACGAAAGCUGGGGGAGCAAACCGGAUUAGAUACCCCCGUAGUCC